UGGAAAGACGGAGAUGUGAGCGCAGGGGGCUCGGGGCCCGGAGCGGCUGGUGUGGCGGGCUUUGCCGGGGUGCUGGCGAGCGGUGCGCGGUAGAGGGGGCUGUGAUCACCUUCAAGAGGCCACAAGCAAUUCAAGAGGAAAGACCUGGAGGUCCUCAGUGUCCCUGAAGCCACAGGACAAAGAGGAAGGCGGCCCUCAGGCCUCAAACAGGCGGAGCAGCGGAGGCAGAAGAUGCGACAGGAAGGGAAGUGGCAGAGACGGGGCAUUCCAAGGUCCUGGGGAAGGGCAGGCCUAGGGGAGGGGGCCAGGCAAGGGUCUCGUUUUGGGGGUGACCCCCCCCCGCCCUCUUUGACUUUGCGCUGCCCUUGAGCGCAGACAUCUGGGUGGAGGCGGCAGUCUGUGGAGGGGCCGUUUCCCACCUUGAGGGAGGGGCCUUUGACUCUGGGUCCAGAGGAGGGGGGGUCGGUCCUGAACAUGCAACAGAAGGGUGCUGAGUGGGAAGCAGAGAAUCCGACGUCGAGGGCUGGAAGGGACCUUGGAGAUGGAGAAGUAGAACUCCAGGCCUGAGCAGGAUGGGGAAACUGAGGCUCACGUGAGGGGAGGGACUCGUCCAAGGUCACACAGGUAGGGCUGGAAGCCUAGGACCUCUGACACCCUAACUCCUCUCAGGGUGUGAUGUUCAAAAUGCCAACUACUAGGCACUGGUCCAUCACAAGCCCAUGAAAGCUGGAAACAACCUGGACCGAGUGCCAGCCUCCCUGCUCUCCUCCUCCCGGCUCACGGCAACGCUGCAGGAUGAUGCAGGAAACUGGGCCCUAGCAAAGCAGCCGCGUGUCAUUCUGCAACAUUCCACAUCCGUGCUGGUUUUCCUGAUCCCCUGGAAUGACUAAAAGCAGGACCCGGUAAAGAUGGCUUUUCACUAGAGGUGAGGAGCUUGGUCAGAGGCUAUGGGAUGGCAUCUUAUAUAUAUUGCAUUGCAUCCCACGAUCCAGGACAAGCUGCUGCAUCCCAGGAUCCAGGAUUCUAAUAUUACUCUGACAGAGGUCCACUCUCAAGCCACAGGCAUAAAAAAAAAGGGGGGGGAUUUCUAGCCAGAUGGGCUCUUGGGCUGUGUGGGUGAGAGUGUGUGUGAGUGUGUGUGCACCCCAGUGAGCUGUAGGACGGUGCUAAAUGUGACCCCUGCUUUCAGAUGGCCUUGGUGGACAUCAAGUAGACACCACUGUUGUCUGGGCAACUCGUCGACCACAUCCUCUACUGAGGAUGCUGCUUGGGUACCGACUAAGGCAUCACUCUAACUCGUCCCUUCUCACUCCGACAUCCGCAGUGUUGACCAAAGGAAUGUCCAGAAGAGUCCCAGCUGGCUGCCCGGUGCCCAGCAUGGUGAACAAGCACUGUCCUCCUCGACUGGACCAGAGCCCAAGAGGCUUCCUUUCUGACAGUAUAAAAAGAACGGACUACCUCCCUUGAAACUCGCAUUUCCCACUGAUCGAAGACUACCAGUUGCUCUUUGCUGCUUUUCACUCUCAAAAGGAGCCUUUCUGCCCAAACCUGCCCUUUGAAAUGGCCUCUUUCUCUCUCCAUUUCUCCCCACUCAUUGGCUCUGAGGAAUCCUCUGGAACGACGUGCAGGGCCACGCUGCUUGUGCCUUUUCUCUGGUUUGGGUCAGGCCGCCAUCCUGAGUCCAGAGGCUUGCCUUUCAGGGCACUUCAUCACAACUGCAAGUUCUACUGAUGGUGUUUUGAAAGCAUCUCCGCUUUCCCCAGGCCACUGGGUCUUAGGACUCUGUGUGAGUCCAGGCAGCUCUGGGCGGUCUGUACAACCUGGACCUAUAGGUCCGACAGCCUGAUAGCCUGGUGGUCACCUAGGCAGGUAUUAUAUAUUGGGGUGGCUUAAUCCCUUCCAAAUUCAGAAAAGGAAUUGAUUUUCGUGUGGCCUCAUUAAGUGGUGAAAAAGAGUCAUGCCUCCUCUCCCUUAAGAAGCAACCCUAAGGGAACAGCCUGAAUCUAUCUUGAGAUAGCGCUGACAUUCCAAAAACUCAUUCGCUUUAAUUGGGCUCAGGACUUUGGAGGAAUUUACCUGGGAUUCUUGUCCCAGAGGCUCUUUCAUUCUUAUUAUUCAUUCUCCUAAGAAACACUGCAUAUCCUGGAUCUUAGCUUGUGGGGCUAUAAUUCAUCACUUCUUGGUGUUAAUAAUUCCCCUGCAACGUGAUCGUUUGGUCCAGUUCUCCGAUGCCAGGAGCACAAAGGUCUUCGGGAACCUUCUGCCACGCAGUGGGAGAGGCUAUGCCCAUGCAGGAAGGAUGCUAAAAAGGCCCACCGACUGCAUUUUACCACCCGCUCUUUCUUUCAGGGUUUAAGGGGUGUUUCGUGGGGUGUCAGCUUGGCCUGCAACAGCCCCCCUGACUGACAGUUGCCUUUUCUGGGGUGGUUGUCUUAGUCACCUCCCCUGAGGGCCCGCAAAAGCCAUAAGGCAUGUCCCCUCCCCGCCUCCACGGUGGCUUUUUGGAAAAAUACAUGAAGGAUUGCCUCUGCGGUGGCCCUGGAGGGUGAUCAAGGGGCAACAUUUUAUUUAAGGGAUGCUGGCUUUUCGGACUGAAAGGGAAUUUGGAUUUUCUAAAUUAAAAAAAAAAAAAGUCACUGUAAUUUCCAAUGACAAUACAGUUGUAAGCUCGCUCAGCCACACAUGGAGCUCACUCCCGCCCCCGGAGGAAGACGAAUCGCUUCUCACAAGGGAAUUCAUGUUCUCGCUGCGGAGUCUGGUUCCGGGCUAUUCCUAUUUCUGUCCCCGCAGCUCCAGCCAAUUUGGGUCAGCUGUGUGGAUAAACAUUUGCUUACUUGGAGCGCAGCAAACGAUCCCAAGAUAAGAACAGGCCUCCUGCUGGUCCCCGCUUCCAGCCUUUCUGCCUCCAACAGGACCUUGGAAGAGGGAGGAAACGGGCCAGGAGCCAGGGUCCGGGCGGGGGCGGGGGCGGCCGCCGGAGCGCUGGUUCGCAACGUGUGGCCUGGGGACCCGCAUCAGCAGCAUCAGCUGGAAACGGGUCAAAACCCCCAAUUCUCAGGCUCCAGCCCAGACCCACGGGCUCCCAAGCCCCGGUGGGAGGCGGGAGCCAGAGGGGUCGGCAUUUUCAAAGCCUCCAGGGGCUGCUGGGGCUUUGGCGUUUCCAAGGCCAGUGGGUCCCGAUCUGGAGUCCUCGGGCAUCUGGGAGUUCCAAAAGGAAGGAACGAGGUGUCUAGGACUGAUUUUUCAGUGUGUCAACGAGCCGAAGGAGAAAGCUAUGCGGGCCCGGAGAAAGCCUGCUUCGGUUAAGGGAACAGUCCGUCUCCACGGUCGCGGCCUGGAAUCUUGACAACGUGGUUGGGAACUGGUUGUUCUCGUCUGAAAGCUCUGGCUGGUAAGUGUACACACCAGGAAUGAAUCAGAGACAGCUACACGGACUAGUACCUCCUAGAGAUAAGGCUCUUCGGGAGGAAGACAAAACUAAUUCAGACCUCAGGUCUCUAGCAGUGAUGGGUCUCACGGAAGAGCCUUGGGUGACGGGGAUUUGGGAGCCAGCCCUUGGGCUCUGUCCCUGCUUUGCCAGCUAUUCUUGGCCCGGCCUUGGAAACGACUGCCAGUCCUCCUAGGGUCGCCGUUUCCCACCGCUAAGAUGGGCUUAGUAAGGCUUGUCCUCCUUGGAAACGGUAUUGUCCCUUUAGGCUGCCAGAGGACUGUCCCUUCAGUCCCCCACAUGGUCCCGCACCCGGGCUGCCCGGACAGUUGGUCCCGGCCAGCGGUGCUUUCUCUGAGUCCCUGCGCAGAAGUCGCAGCCUUCCUGGGCCCCUGGAGUGCAGCAGCAAAAGCAGCAAAUGUCUUCUGUUUCAAGAUGGCAGACAGAGUACACAACCAAUUCCUAUAAAUAACAGAAAUAAAGUUUUACAAAACCUACACAGUCCCAGGAAAAGAAGAAAAGGAUUCAUGGAGUUCCCUUGUGGUGCAGAUGGGUUAGGGAUCUAGGGUUGUCACUGCUGUGGUUUGGGUCACUGCUGUAGCACAGGUUCCAUGUCCGGCCCAGGAACAUCUGUAUGCUGUGGGCGCAGCCAAAAAAUUUUUUAAAAUUCCACAAGAAGAAGAAGAAGAAGAACAAGAAAAGGAUUCCUUAGUGGAUUAGAACCAUGAGCUAACUCUGAGGACAGAAAAUGAAUAUGGAAUUGACUGGACUGGAAAACUACCUUCUAAGACAUACGCAAGUGAGUUCCUGAAAGCCACGCCUAGAGGCCUUCUUGUCUUGGAGCAGGAGGGGGGUCUAAGGUGCCACGUAUCAAGAUUGUUAGCUGGGGUAUCCAAACCAGAGGUCAGCCGUGUCCUGCACCCUCCACACCUUGGACCAGGCAUCGGCGGUGAGGGAUGCGACAGUCUACAGCUGGGAGUGGUAAACACAGCAUCUCCGCAGACACUGGGGUGGGCUUCAGAUUGUGCAGCAACGUGUCUUCUCCCCACCGACUGUGCUGACGGGCGCAUCAGACAGUCUGCAAGGUGUCCACAGGGCACAGGGGAGGGUACAGUCAUGAAUCCCCUAAGCCGGGAGCAGUGUCGGCACCGUGGUGAGAAAGACUCCAAACUCCCAACAGAACAUCAGGAACACAUGGAGCAGAUCUUCCUCAAUUAAAGAUAAAAUAAAAGGACCACCUCCCAUCCGCUGGGAUGGCGACUGUUUAAAAACCGGGACAGAGCAAGUGUUGAUGAGGAUGGGAAGCGCCGGGAAGCCUGUGCCCGAGGGCGAGAAUGCGAGAGAGAGUUCAGCCGCGGUGGAAAUCAGGCCGGUGGCGCCUCAAAAAGUGAAACCAGAACUACCACACGAUCCACUCUCGCACUUCUGAGAACAUGUCCAGAAGACGUGAGACCUGAAGAAAUACUGGUACAUCCAGGGUCACAGGAGCUCUGUUCGGUGUAUCAGGAGGUGGAAGUGGGAGUUACCCAAGGCUCCAUCCAUGGCUGGAUGGGCAAGUGCAACGUGCUCUAUACGUGCAACAGGAUAUUAUUCAGCCUGAACGCGGAAAGAGGUUCUGACACCUGCUACUGCAUGGAUGAACCUCGAGGAUAUUAUGGGAAAUGACCUAAACUGGUCACAAAAGGACAAAUGGUGUAUGAUUCCACUUACAUGCAGUAUCUAGAGCAGGCCAUUGCACAGAGGCAGAGCAAAGAGUGGUGCUUGUCUGGGGAUGAGGCAGGGGACGUUAUUGUUUUCAUGAGGACUGAGUUUCGGUUUUGCAAGAUGAAAAAGAUCUGAAGACAGCUGCUGGGAUACAACCGUAUGACAUGUACUUAAUGCCACUGGCUGUCCUCUUAAAAACGACGAGAACGGGCAGUUUGAUGUGUGUUUUACUACAAUUAAGAAAAAAUAAACCAAAGAUUAAAGUAAUGCUUAGUUCGUUAAAAUAAACAAAUUCAAGUGGGUGGCUGAAUGAAUGGAGUUACAAACAAGUUAGGAAGCUGGAAGAUGGAGCUGAGCCACUCUCUAGAACACAGCAGAGGGAUAAAGAGUGGACGGCAAAAACAAUACAAACUCCACGCAGAACCACCGCAAGACACAGAAAAGCUUCCAGGAAAAAAGAUACUCGUCCUUGAACUACAGAUAAUAUUAUCAUUACUUGAUUCAUGUACUCGAGGUCCUUUUUCCUACAGGUUUAUGUGGGAUCACACUGUAAGUUUUCCUCCUUUUUUUUUUUUUUUCUUUUUGCCAUUUCUAGGGUCGCUCCCUUGGCAUAUGGAGGUUCCCA